UACAGAGGUCUCAAGCGUUGUUCGGAUUCAUUGGGCGUAAAGGGUGCGUAGGCGGCGAGGUAAGUCGGAUGUGAAAUCCCGGGGCUCAGCCCCGGAACUGCAUUCGAUACUGCUUUGCUUGAGUACUGGAGAGGAGACUGGAAUUUACGGUGUAGCAGUGAAAUGCGUAGAUAUCGUAAGGAAGACCAGUGGCGAAGGCGAGUCUCUGGACAGUUACUGACGCUGAGGCACGAAGGCCAGGGGAGCAAACGGG
rnacentral:rRNA from 1 species